ACUGCGAAGGGGGGACGGAGAAGGCUAUGUUGGCCGGGCGACGGUUGUCCCGGUUUAAGCGUGUAGGUGUGUGUUCCAGGUAAAUCCGGUUCACUUUAACACUGAGGCGUGAUGACGAGGCACUACGGUGCUGAAGCAACAAAUGCCCUGCUUCCAGGAAAAGCCUCUAAGCAUCAGGUAACAUCAAAUCGUACCCCAAACCGACACAGGUGGUCAGGUAGAGAAUACCAAGGCGCUUGAGAGAACUCGGGUGAAGGAACUAGGCAAAAUGGUGCCGUAACUUCGGGAGAAGGCACGCUGACAC
rnacentral:rRNA from 1 species